UUUCAUGAUGAUUGUUUUCACAACAUCUGUCCGGUGACUCCUGAGCCAUGGAUUUAAUACAUGCAUCACCAUCUGACC
rnacentral:snoRNA from 1 species